CUAAGGUGGGGUUGGUGACUGUGACGAAGUCGUAACAAGGCAGCCGUACGGGAACGUGUGGCUGAAUCACCUCCUUU
rfam:Chloroflexi bacterium RBG_13_51_36 RBG_13_scaffold_1151, whole genome shotgun sequence.